rnacentral:rRNA from 1 species
UGAGGAAUACAUCGGAAUCUACUUUUUCGUGGGGGAUAACGUAGGGAAACUUACGCUAAUACCGCAUACGACCUACGGGUGAAAGCAGGGGAUCUUCGGACCUUGCGCGAUUGAAUGAGCCGAUGUCGGAUUAGCUAGUUGGCGGGGUAAAGGCCCACCAAGGCGACGAUCCGUAGCUGGUCUGAGAGGAUGAUCAGCCACACUGGAACUGAGACACGGUCCAGACUCCUACGGGAGGCAGCAGUGGGGAAUAUUGGACAAUGGGCGCAAGCCUGAUCCAGCCAUACCGCGUGGGUGAAGAAGGCCUUCGGGUUGUGAAGCCCUUUUGUUGGGAAAGAAAUCCAGCCGGUUAAUACCUGGUUGGGAUGACGGUACCCAAAGAAUAAGCACCGGCUAACUUCGUGCCAGCAGCCGCGGUAAUACGAAGGGUGCAAGCGUUACUCGGAAUUACUGGGCGUAAAGCGUGCGUAGGUGGUUGUUUAAGUCUGUUGUGAAAGCCCUGGG